GUACCAGAUGGUGCCCUGAGGGACUUGGAUGUUCCCAUCUCUGCUCCAACGCUACUAAAGAGGUGUAAGCUGCAGAGCUGGGGCUGUGGAUUGGUGUCAGUGUCACAAGUGCUUCCAGGUAAUGCUGAGUCUCAGCAACUUCGUGAGAGCUGGAUGUGAUGGGCUUGUGCCACUGCAAAAGAAUGGUUCCUUAUGUUGAACAAUGCUGAAAUGCAUGCAGGGUUCAGAAGACAGACUUGUAUCUGCUUUAAGCUUGGAAACUGGAAAAAAAAAAAUUAGAAAUGAUGACUGCAUAGAUUUCCUGAUUCUUUCCGGCAUGAAAACUCCUUUCCUGGGAGUUACAGACGUGGUCCCUGCCAAGGCAGUAUAUCUCAGUGAUACAGAGACGGACCGAGAUUGUUUCCCAUUUCCCAUCAACAGCCAAGGGAUGUGGCAAACGAAUAUUACAGGGCCCUGA
rnacentral:lncRNA from 1 species